UACAGAGGGUGCGAGCGUUAAUCGGAAUUACUGGGCGUAAAGCGUGCGUAGACGGUUAUUUAAGUCGGGUGUGAAAGCCCCGGGCUCAACCUGGGAAUUGCAUUCGAGACUGAAUAGCUAGGGUACGGUAGAGGGAAGUGGAAUUUCCGGUGUAGCGGUGAAAUGCGUAGAUAUCGGAAGGAACAUCAGUGGCGAAAGCACUCUGCUGGGCCGACACUGACACUGAGAGACGAAAGCUAGGGGAGCGAAUGGG
rnacentral:rRNA from 1 species